UCCCGCUAUGUUUCCCACAUAGUUCAAAGCUUUGCUCCAUGCUUGCUUCUUAUCCUCCGUUUGAUGUGCACAAGUUUCCUUGAAAGCGAUCCCAAAAUCUCCGGUUUGUUUGCGAACAUCAGAAGGAUCUACUCCGUAGAAGACAGUCAUCACGAUUUGCCCAAAUUUUUUUUGGCAAUCGACAAUGUCCAAAAGCUCAUCCAAACACCAACUGGAAGAUGCAUAGCUCUUUGUGAGCAAUACGAUCGCGAUCCUCGAUUCUCUAAUGGCUGUCUUGAGAGAUGAGGCAAUGGUGUGGCCUCUCUCCAUCCAUUGAUCAUUGAACAUCGUAAUUCCAUUGUCGCUGAACUGUUUACGUAAAUGGGUGAGAAGUGUCUGACGGACGUCUGGUCCAUGGAAGCUAGUGAAGACAUGGUAUCUCCAGUUUCGAGGUGGGGAAGAAGAAGAAGAAGCCAUGACAGGUGAAGAAGAAGAAGAAGCCAUGAGCAGAGAUGAUCUUGAGUGGUUAAGAAAGUGUUAGGAUAAGAAAUGGGAAAAUAGCAACUCACUUAUAUAUAUAGAGAGAGAGAGAUGGGAAGUUUCUUUGCAAAGUUAAGGAAAUUUCAAACAAUGUAAAUAGAGAAGAAAAAGAAAAGUCAAUGAAAUUUUGGACUCAAUAUUGCAAACGCGUAAAGAAGCAGCUUACAUAGCAAGUUGUAUAGUCUCCAUUCUUGGCCUGAUUCCCAGAUGUGUUUAGGAUAAGCAAAGCUGUGUUCACUUAUUGUGAUAGAGANNN
rnacentral:lncRNA from 1 species